rnacentral:rRNA from 1 species
UACGGGGGGGGCAAGCGUUGUUCGGAAUUAUUGGGCGUAAAGGGCGCGUAGGCGGUUAGAUAAGUCGGCUGUGAAAUCCCCGGGCUUAACCUGGGAACUGCGCUUGUAACUGGCAAGCUAGAGUGUGGCAGAGGGGGGUGGAAUUCCACGUGUAGCAGUGAAAUGCGUAGAGAUGUGGAGGAACACCGAUGGCGAAGGCAGCCCCCUGGGCUAACACUGACGCUCAUGCACGAAAGCGUGGGGAGCAAACAGG